rnacentral:ncRNA from 1 species
AUAAAAACGAUGACAGAAGGUAGCUGAGUCCCUUGGUUCAGAGAGUUGACGUUGGUGCGAGUCAAUCCAGUCCUCAGUGAAACACAUCUGUAAGUUAAUUAGCUGAAGUAAUAGUAGGCUUUUUCGGUAGUUCCGUUAUCACUGAAGUUAAUGUAACUUCAUGAGCCUAAAGUUGUGAGACUUUAGGAAGCCAGAGGUGGUACCGCGAAAGUCGCCCUCUUA